UCCAGAAUAAAACCCCUUCCCCUUUUCCCUUCCUUCCUCCUUUUCUCCAAACGUCAAACCCGAAAUAAUAAUUCCUUCACAUUUCUGCCCGUCGACUGCAUCACCUAUAAUCUCCAGUCUCCAACUUCAGAAGAUCGAGUCAAAGCGAUAGAAAUUACAAGAUGACGGGAAGUGGAAGGGGGUCGAGGUUCUCACUCAUGCUGCUCCCUCUGUUGAUUUCUUUCUCCGUGCUGCCCUGCAUAUCUGUUGCUUACAAGCCAGGAGACAUCGUCCCCAUGAGCAAGAUGGGCCUUUAUCACUCUAUGAAAACCGAAUGGCAUAUAUGAUCGGUCGAUACUGCCCAACUUUUGCCGUGAAUCGUGAGGUGUUAGUUCCUUUAGUGAAGUCGAUGGGCUAUACAGGAGCUGAUGCUUAUAACAUGUGAGUAUAAUUAAGCCGAUGGGCUAUACAGGAGCUGAUGCUUAUAAAAUGUAAAUGUGGUUAGUAAAUUUUUGUUGUGUAUAAAUUUGUAGAUGUUAGUUUCUUCAUUCUUCUCCUUCUCUUCGCUUCGACGAGGAAAUCUAUUAGUCUGAAUUCUAGUAACCGUGACAGUUUUGGUGUGCCCAUACAAAUUCUUCCCUGGCAAACAUGUUGUCAUCAGAGAGGAAGGAUUUGAAACAUAGGUUGAAUAUGGAAAAUGCAGUGAAUGCAGGGGAUAUGGAAAAUGCAGUGAAUGCAGGGGAUAUGGAAAAUGCAGAAAGUGCAGUGAAUAUGGAAAAUGCAGAAAGUGCCCAUCGCCUUCAACCAUGUCUGACAACGACAACAUCAUCACUGUUUAAGUGUAAGCAUUGUUGCAGAUGGAAUGAAGAAUCGAAGGCCGAAGAAUUUUGGUUUUCUGGAUUUCUUAGCUCAAGUUGUUCAUACUUUGUAAUUGUUCUUAGUUGUAAUAGACGGUUAGGAUUAAAACAAUUGUAAUUGUUGGAUGUAUUGUCAUAGCAGCUGAGGUGUUUAAGGCCAUCUCUAACCUAAAGAGGCCAAAUGGUCGUAUUAGCCCUAUAGUCCUAUAAAAAUUAUAUUUUAAUAAACAAUGUCAGAUUAUAUUUUAUAUCAUCUCCAACCAAGGGGAUCAA